UUAGAGAUGGGCCUGAAAGUCUGAGGACGGUCAGUUGGCUGCUGAUUCUCAUCAAAGUAACAUUGUUUUUGUUUUCUUUCUGUUUGCGCCGGAACAUUUCAGCGCUGUUUUUCGAAGUGAGAUUUAUUGAUGCAAUAGCCAGGAAAACCGAAGUUCCAGUGCAACAACGUCGGUGCAAAUCACCGCAACAUGGCCAAGCGUAACAUAAAGCCGGUCCAGGACAAGAGAGUCAAACAAACCAGGAAGAAGGUAGGCACUGGUCGCGUCCGGCAGAAGGAGGAUCGCUAAAGUGACCAGAGAGACUGAUCCGCGUUCCGCAAAGGAGAACCAGGCGUGUGAGUGUGAGAUUGUUCGUAGAAAAUGCCUCCUACACCGGCAAACAAGGCAAUUUGAGUAUGUUGUGAAUGUAGUGUGAAGUGAAAAUGAAACGUUGUGUAAAAGUGAUACAUAAAAUUUGGUGAAUAAAAAAAGUUAAAAGACAA